GCAAAUUGUCUGCCUUCGGAAAAUCAGAAGAAUGAAAGAAUGGGAUUUAUAGCAUAUAUGCUCUAUGUGCAGCUGAUGAAGCUUUGAGAGAUCAAAAUUGGUUGCCUUCGGAAAAUAAGAAGAAGGAAAGAACGGGUGUUUCAAUUGGUGGGGGAAUCGGAAGCAUCUCAGACAUUUUAAAUGCAUGACUGCUGAUUGCUGAAAAUGAAAUAUGCAGUUAUGGAUCCAUUCUAUAGUUGGAAUAUGAGACUCCAUAUGUGUGUGUAUGUUUAUUCUUGCUUGAAUCUGGUGCUGAAGGUGUGAACAGGUGAGUCCUGCUUACAAGUUCGUCUAAAGAAUUUUCAUGUUUUAAAGCCAUUGAGACAUUUAUCCCUCCACCUUCUAUAUCUAUUUAUCGUCAAUUAGUGCAAUAGUGGUCGCUGGUGUAUUACCCAUUCCACACUAGCUUGUUUCCUUUUUGUUUUGGGGGUUAUUUGCAGUGGAAACUAUUGUUUGUGCUUGCCACUCAUUAAAUCAUCUUUGAAAAUCUAACGAGCGGA